CAUUUACAGGAUGCCCUCCUUUUCUCUCGAAUUAUUUAAGACACAAAGUUUCAUCGUUACAUUAAUCGUCAGAAAUAUAAAAUCAAUUAAGUUUUCUUUUAAAGUUACUUCCAACACGUAAUAUGUAUUGCCUAAUUAAUUAGUUUAUACUCCAUCUCCAUGCAUGUUUAUUAGUCAUCUUGAUCUCGGUCAAACCAAAGUAUGAUUAGUUUUUCUCAUCAUUGUCAAAGUCUUUUUUUCUCUUGAUUUAUUUUAUUUUUACCGAUUAAUUACCGAACGAAAACUAUAAAAUGGAAUCAUAUUACUUUACGAUACUUGUAAUGGUAUUAAUUUUUAACUUAAUUUUUGCUAUUUACGCAUUUUUACGCUAUUUUGGAUACAUAAGAGGAUGCGAUAGACUUCCUAUUUUACAAAGAAACACGCAAAUUCCAGAAAUAUCGAAUAACAAAAAAUAAGAUACACUUCAUUAUUAAAACUGUAUCUUUCUAAAAACAUGUUAUGGUAUUAAAAAUAAAUAAAGAAUACAAUUAAAAUAAAAA